UAGAAAUGUGCUUGAAUAUACAGGUUGUUCACGAGGCCCGGCUUAAAUCUGAUUAGAGUUUAGAUCAGACCCAUUGUGGUUGAGCCUGAUCUGACCCGACUGAUUAGCGUUAAGUAAACCAACCCAACAUAUUUUUUUAAAUUACAAUUUUAUUACGAGCUUUAGUUUUUAGACCACCACUUAAGCAAGCAAUGUACCUUCUCCUGUUCUUAGCGUUUGUUUAAUGUCUUUCACCUCCAUCUUGUCACUUGUUGUAACCAUAGACAUAAUAAUGAGUACAGCCCACAAUGGCUACUCGGGCGCAGGGAAUACAGCGGACAUCUUGGAGAGGUCGUCCUUCUCAUUUGGUUACACCAAAAGAGCAGAAGAUUGCAUACUACCCGACAAAGUCUCUGUCACCAGAAACACAGAGGGUCCUUCUCAGUCGUGCUUUUGGAGGAGCUGCACACACGAGGAAUUCGGGUGGCAUGUUUAACAAUGGAUGGGUAUGCCUCUAACAUCAGCGUGUGCAACCAACUUCUAAGCCAGUUUCCCACAUUCAGUGACUGGGGGGAACAUUUCUGUAGUGAUGGAUGCUUACCGCAUGCUAAAGUUGACACAUAAGAUGUUGCAGGUAAAAGAUGAUUGCUGUAUAUCUAUUUCUGCAAGUUAUCUAUUUGUGUGUCUGUUCAUGUGCACAGAUAUGGCUGGAUGCGAUGGUCAACGUUUAGCUGUUUAUACUUAUUUGAGCUGUGGACUUAUUCUUACUCUGCAGGCAUAUAGUCUGAUAGCAACUACCACUUCUACUUCUCUAUUUACACUAUAAUAAGUUUUUUAACAACUUUAUAUAGUGCACUGUACAAAAAUAGAAACACCCCAUGUCAAAUAUUGUUGCCACGUGUACUUAACUGUAAAUGAGCAGUUGCUGACAUUUUAUUGUACUAAAGUAAAAUUGCUCUUGAUUUGUGUAUAAUUUUUUAUGCAACUUGCUGUCAGUGAGCAUUACUCAUGAGUUCAGACAAAACAAGCAACAACUGGACAAUUCUUGGACAACAAAAGGCCACCCCAAAAUGUCAAAUUUUGUCACAAGUCAUAAUGCCUCGGAUGUCGCAAGUUAUGCAGGAGCGUGCCAUUGGCAUGUUGGAUGCAGAGAUGUCCACUAGAGCAGUAGCUGCACGGCUCAAUCUCCAUUAUCGGACCAUGGGCCUUUUCAGAGUUUGUUUCCAACAGACUGACACUACUGCAAAUUGACCUCAUCCUCGUCGGCCACUCCAGCACAAGAUCGCCUCAUCCAGCUCGUCCAUCUGCGGCAUACACAGCUGAUGAGACAAUUGGUCUGCACAACAGACACCUCAGAUUGUCCGUAACCGCCUACGAGAAGCCAACAUGCAUGCUCUGCAAAUUCCUCAACCUGACCCCUAUCAUGUUCAAAGGACUGUCAAUCCGUUACAAAUGGCCAAACCAUGAUGUCAUUGAUGCCAAUAUGAAGAUCAGUAAUUAGUCAAAAUAUAUUGAGUUUUUCUAUAUAUUGCGUAACCCAAAUGUUAAUAAAACUCUUAUAUUUGA